AUGGUUGCUUCCGCUGCUGCUCGGUCCAGCCGCCGCCGUCGGGGCCGCUCUCCUGGUAUUCGAGCCGUUGUUAUUGCCCGUGUCCGUCGUGCUGCUGGCCGUCUUUCUUCGCUGGAUUUUCCAUUGCCGGCAAAUGCUGGUGUGCAUGGCCAGCUGGCUGAUUCGGAAUGCCGUGUCCGGUCCGGGGCUCGCCGGCCAUUUCGUUCUUCCCGGACUGGUGUGCACCAAUUAGAUUCGUGGCGAGAUGUUAAUGUGGACGUCGAUAGUCGCCGUCGGGAGAUUUCAUUAGGGAAGCGGCCUGUGGAUUGUACCAUUGACACUUCGCCUGUUGAAGUGGUUGACGGAUCGAGUAUUUGUGUUUCUGGUUUUCCUGCUGGUGUUCAUCUUUAUGGCUCUUUGGUUGGUGCUACGACUUACCGUUGCCGUCCAAGAGUGGUGCCCUUAUGUGCCGCCGGUACCUUUGGUCGGCCUACUUCUCUUGGUAAGUCCAAUUUUCUAAAUAUGCAUGUGCUUCUCUUGGUUUUGUGGUGUUCUUUUAGGAUUGGUUCUAAUUUGUGUACUUGUUUUUCAUUUGAGUGA
rnacentral:rRNA from 1 species